rnacentral:rRNA from 1 species
CCUACGGGAGGCAGCAGUGGGGAAUCUUGCGCAAUGGACGAAAGUCUGACGCAGCCAUGCCGCGUGAAUGAUGAAGGUCUUAGGAUUGUAAAGUUCUUUAGCCUGUGACGAUGAUGACGGUAACAGGAGAAUAAGCCCCGGCUAACUUCGUGCCAGCAGCCGCGGUAAUACGAAGGGGGCUAGCGUUGUUCGGAAUUACUGGGCGUAAAGCGCGCGUAGGCGGUUAUGCAAGCCAGAGGUGAAAUGCCUGAGCUCAACUUAGGAAUUGCCUUUGGAACUGCAUGGCUUUGAGGACGAGAGAGGUGAGUGGAAUUCCCAGUGUAGAGGUGAAAUUCGUAGAUAUUGGGAAGAACACCGGUGGCGAAGGCGGCUCACUGGCUCGUUUCUGACGCUGUAGCGCGAAAGCGUGGGGAUCAAACAGGAUUAGAUACCCUGGUAGUCCACGCUGUAAACGAUGAGUGCUAGGCGUUGGCACGCUUGCGUGUCAGUGCGCNGCUACGCGUGAGCGACUCCGCCGUGGGAGGUACGGUCGCGAGAGUAAACGUACGAAGUAGAGUUAGACGGCGUGAGACGUUGCCGACGGACGACGACGAGGGGAGGAGGG